UACAGAGGUCUCAAGCGUUGUUCGGAUUCAUUGGGCGUAAAGGGCUCGUAGGCGGCCAACUAAGUCAUACGUGAAAGCCCCCGGCUUAACCGGGGAAUUGCGUCCUAAACUGGAUGGCUCGAGUGGGAUAGAGGUGUGUGGAACUUCCGGUGGAGCGGUGAAAUGUGUUGAUAUCGGAAGGAACGCCGGUGGCGAAAGCGACACACUGGGUCUCAACUGACGCUGAGGCACGAAAGCCAGGGGAGCGAACGGG
rnacentral:rRNA from 1 species